rnacentral:misc_RNA from 1 species
UUUCCGUAGGUGAACCUGCGGAAGGAUCAUUAUUGAAUAACCGAGGUUCGAGCUCUCUCUCUUACCCGAGAGGUCGUGCACGCCCGAGUGCCCUCACACACAUCCAUCUCACCCCUAUAUUCACCACCGCGUAGGUGCCGCUGUUGCUUGUUCUUAGGGUACCUUACGUUUUCACACAAACUUUUUUUUAAAUGUAGAAUAUAACUUUUUUUUUUGCUAUAACACAAUAAAUAUAACUUUCAACAACGGAUCUGAUCGCUCCAGCAUCGAUGAAGACCC